GCGAAAAGCGUCGGUAAGGUGAUAUGAACCGUUAUACCCGACGAUAUCCGAAUGGGGAAACCCAGUAUCCAAUGGAUACUAUCAUUAACUGAAUCCAUAGGUUAAUGAGGCGAACCGGGAGAACUGAAACAUCUCAGUACCCCGAGGAAAAGAAAUCAACCGAGAUUCCCCUAGUAGCGGCGAGCGAACGGGGAGCAGCCCAGAGUCUUAAUCAAUAGCAGUGUCAGGAGAACGGUCUGGAAAGUCCGGCAGUAAAGGGUGAUAGCCCCGUAUCUGAAGAUGCUGUUAUUGUGAACUCGACGAGUAGGGCGGGACACGUGUUAUCCUGUCUGAAUAUGGGGGGACCAUCCUCCAAGGCUAAAUACUCCUGAUUGACCGAUAGUGAACCAGUACCGUGAGGGAAAGGCGAAAAGAACCCCGGCGAGGGGAGUGAAAAAGAACCUGAAACCGUGUACGUACAAGCAGUAGGAGCCCCACCACUAAGCUAGUGGUGAGUGUCACAGCGAUUCUUUUGCAUGAUAAGUGCGGUAGACGGAGCGAAGCGACGUCCAACCCACAAAAUCAAGCAGAGGAGGCUUAGUGGUGGGGUGACUGCGUACCUUUUGUAUAAUGGGUCAGCGACUUAUAUUCUGUAGCAAGGUUAACCGUAUAGGGGAGCCGUAGGGAAACCGAGUCUUAACUGGGCGAAUAAGUUGCAGGGUAUAGACCCGAAACCCGGUGAUCUAUCCAUGGGCAGGUUGAAGGUUGGGUAACACUAACUGGAGGACCGAACCGACUAAUGUUGAAAAAUUAGCGGAUGACUUGUGGAUGGGGGUGAAAGGCCAAUCAAACCGGGAGAUAGCUGGUUCUCCCCGAAAGCUAUUUAGGUAGCGCCUCGUGAACUCAUCUUCGGGGGUAGAGCACUGUUUCGACUAGGGGGUCAUCCCGACUUACCAACUCGAUGCAAACUGCGAAUACCGAAGAAUGUUAUCACGGGAGACACACGGCGGGUGCUAACGUCCGUCGUGAAGAGGGAAACAACCCAGACCGCCAGCUAAGGUCCCAAAGUCAUGGUUAAGUGGGAAACGAAGUGGGAAGGCUCAGACAGCCAGGAUGUUGGCUUAGAAGCAGCCAUCAUUUAAAGAAAGCGUAAUAGCUCACUGGUCGAGUCGGCCCGCGCGGAAGAUGUAACGGGGCUAAACCAUGCACCGAAGCUGCGGCAGCGACACAAUGUGUUGUUGGGUAGGGGAGCGUUCUGUAAGCCUGCGAAGGUGUACUGUGAGGUAUGCUGGAGGUAUCAGAAGUGCGAAUGCUGACAUAAGUAACGAUAAUGCGGGUGAAAAACCCGCACGCCGGAAGACCAAGGGUUCCUGUCCAACGUUAAUCGGGGCAGGGUGAGUCGACCCCUAAGGCGAGGCUGAAAAGCGUAGUCGAUGGGAAACGGGUUAAUAUUCCCGUACUGGUGGUAACUGCGAUGGGGGAACGGAGAAGGCUAGGUUGUCCGGGCGACGGUCGUCCCGGUUCAAGCAGGUAGGCAGAGUGAUUAGGCAAAUCCGGUCACUUAAUGCUGAGAUGUGAUGACGAACCACC
rnacentral:rRNA from 1 species